GAACACCGACUUCGUGCAGAUCGCCGGCGGCGACCAGGUCAAGUUGGCCAGGUUGAGGGAGAUCCGUUCUUGGUUUGACAACACAAGGCAGAUGAGCUGGACGGCAAUGGCCACUCUCAAGAAUUUGACGAAGAAGGAGAGGGCAAAGCUUUUCCCCCAGCCCGCGCAACCGAUUCAGAAGAUCGAGAUCCUCCUCUGGGCGAUGGAGCAGGCCAAUUCGUCCAGCGAGUGGACCAGGUGGAGGUGGUGGGCGUUCAGAUCCAGGGUAGAGCAUCCACUGGAUCAGGAACCCACCGUGCACGAGGUGCCGUUGCAGAUUGUGCAGCCUCCAACCGAGUCACCGGAGACUUCGAAGCGCAAGAUGAGGAGGACAAUGGUCGCGACCUCGCUUCCCCGCCGUUCUCCACGCUUCCCUCGCCGCUCUCCUCGUCUGAACGGCGGCGGUAGCUAUGUUUAGAGAAAAAACCUGGAGUUCACCAGGCUGGCUGAAGUUGUGAGGCUGGGAGGCUGAUGGUGCUGCUACUGGCUGAUCCUUCUUCUUUCAGCUUCUGUUCGUCCUUUCUCAAGCCGUUGGACCAGGGCUACUUCCCUAUGUGCUGUUAAUGUAUUAAGUAGUUCCUUCGAAUUUGUAGUAUUAGUUAGUUUGAAUGUGGAAGUACCUUAAUUUUUAGGAACGAAAUGUUGCUAUGUAUGACCAAGGGUUUGAUACCUUAAUCUUUGGAUAAUUAAUUAUGUGAA